rnacentral:rRNA from 1 species
UACGGAGGGUGCAAGCGUUAUCCGGAUUCACUGGGUUUAAAGGGUGCGUAGGUGGGUCUGUAAGUCCGUGGUGAAAUCUCCGAGCUUAACUUGGAAACUGCCAUGGAUACUAUAGAUCUUGAAUACUGUGGAGGUUAGCGGAAUAUGUCAUGUAGCGGUGAAAUGCUUAGAUAUGACAUAGAACACCAAUAGCGAAGGCAGCUCGCUGGGACGUUACUGACACUGAGGCGCGAAAGCGUGGGGAGCGAACAGG